GACGAACGCUGGCGGCGUGCUUAACACAUGCAAGUCGAACGGUAAGGCCCUUCGGGGUACACGAGUGGCGAACGGGUGAGUAACACGUGGGUGAUCUGCCCUGCACUUCGGGAUAAGCCUGGGAAACUGGGUCUAAUACCGGAUAGGACUCCUGGCUUCAUGGUUGGGGGUGGAAAGCUUUUGCGGUGUGGGAUGGGCCCGCGGCCUAUCAGCUUGUUGGUGGGGUAAUGGCCUACCAAGGCGACGACGGGUAGCCGGCCUGAGAGGGUGACCGGUCACACUGGGACUGAGAUACGGCCCAGACUCCGACGGGAGGCAGCAGUGGGGAAUAUUGCACAAUGGGCGCAAGCCUGAUGCAGCGACGCCGCGUGAGGGAUGACGGCCUUCGGGUUGUAAACCUCUUUCAGCUAUGACGAAGCGCAAGUGACGGUAGUAGCAGAAGAAGGGCCGGCCAACUACGUGCCAGCCGCCGCCGUAA
rnacentral:rRNA from 1 species